GGGUCAGUAGGUUGGUCGUGCCACCGGUACGUACUGGUCUCACUGAUUCCUCCUUCCUGAAGAACCGUAAUGCCAUUAAUGUGGUGUUGCGGGGAAACAGGACUGUUACUUUGAAAAAAUUAGAGUGUUUAAAGCAAGCUAACGCUUGGAUACAUUAGCAUGGAAUAAUGAAAUAGGACGAUCGAUCCUAUUUUGUUGGUUUCUAGGAUUGACGUA
rnacentral:rRNA from 1 species